GGAGGGGAGACGUCCCUGGUGGGACGGCCGGGCUUCAAACCCGGUGGUCGGCGCCACGCGCCGAUGGGUGGGUUCGACUCCCACGCUCCUCCG
rnacentral:tRNA from 2 species